rnacentral:rRNA from 1 species
UACGUAGGGACCAAGCGUUGUUCGGAUUUACUGGGCGUAAAGGGCGCGUAGGCGGCAAUUCAAGUCAGCUGUGAAAUCUCCGGGCUUAACUCGGAACGGUCAGCUGAUACUGCUUUGCUAGAGUGCAGAAGGGGCAAUCGGAAUUCUUGGUGUAGCGGUGAAAUGCGUAGAUAUCAAGAGGAACACCUGAGGUGAAGACGGGUUGCUGGGCUGACACUGACGCUGAGGCGCGAAAGCUAGGGUAGCAAACGGGAUUAGAAACCCCCGUAGUCC